CAGACACCAACUGUUGAUUUUCCAUCUCAACAUUCUCCAGAUUCAGAUAUUCACAGCAGGACAAAGCGCUGGAAGUGGGUAUGUCUCAAGCUUCUUCAACGUGCUCCACUCCAAAGCGAGCUGCAAAGGUGAAGAAGUGGAAGCAGUUGAAUGACACAUGUUGCAUUUUAUAAAUGGCAACAAAGUACCAGGUAAAAAAGAUUGUAAAGCCUGCCUCUAUAAAUAACUAGUAGCUCUACAGAACAGAGAUUGGCUUGCCAUCAAGUACUAUGUCCAUAACAGAAUCAUAUCAAAAAAAGGAAAAACAUUUGUUUUUCCACAUCUUCUGUGGUAGUUUGAGUAUGUUACCAGCAAUUAAAAAAGCAAG